UACGUAGGGGGGCAAGCGUUGUCCGGAUUUAUUGGGCGUAAAGAGCGUGUAGGCGGUCAGGUAGGUCCGUUGUGAAAACUCGAGGCUCAACCUCGAGACGCCGAUGGAAACCAUCUGACUAGAGUCCGGAAGAGGAGAGUGGAAUUCCUGGUGUAGCGGUGAAAUGCGCAGAUAUCAGGAAGAACACCCGUGGCUAAGGCGGCUCUCUAGUACGGUACUGACGCUGAGACGCGAAAAGCGUGGGGGAGCGAACAGG
rnacentral:rRNA from 1 species